AGUAUUUGGCUGUAAUUAUUUUUUCACAGUGCAAUGCACAGAUAAAAGAAGAUAUUUUUGCAAUGAAUUCUGAAGCAGAAAACCACAAGUCAGCAACAACCAAAAUCCUGAAUGACCUAGCAGUGCUUCAUGGUAACAUGUUAAUAAAUAUUUCAGAACAAAAAAUGGUAUUUUGUAAGAAUAUAUUUGAGCCCUUAUGUCUUCUUUGCAGAGCUCCCUACCAUGUUUUAACUUUUGACUCUCUUGCAGAUCUUCUUCUGAAGGGAUGGUCAGAGGACAGCUCUAUGCAAAAGGAAUUUUUGGAGAAUGAGCGGGAAAUACUAAAAGCAGUGACAGCUCUAAUAACAAAAAUCCAACAACGAGAGAAGAAGAUCGGUGAUAUUAAUAGCAGGCUACAAAACAAAUUGGAAGGACUUGAUUCUCUAGUUGAAAAAAACCCCAGAGUGGAUCACCGUAAGAUACACCAAACUUAUUCUUUUCCUGUUCUGCUCUUUUGGACUUCUGAUGAAUGUGUUCAUUUUAGCAGCUUGUUAGAAAAUAGUAGUAAAGCUGUGUUAUACCAGAUCACUCUUAUUUGCAGAUCUGCACUUACAGGCACAGUGGAAAAGCUGAUGCAUUUAUUAGCAGAAUUAGGCAUGCCUUAUAACACAGCCCGAAUAUUAUUAAUUAUCUUGAAUUUCCACUUCCUUCACUUUUGUGACAAUGACAGUGAGGGGGCUGCAGAAAAUACUCUGAGUGUCAUUGAUCUUUGCAGAAUUAUACAUUAG
rnacentral:lncRNA from 1 species